AAAAGGAGCAAGUUAAGUUAAGCUGACUUCAUUUUCCCAACAUGUUCUGCCUCCUCCCAGCAGAUGGCAUUUCAGGACUCAGAAUGGACUGACACUCUUUCGCACUGUGCUGCUCAGAAUCUCACGCAGGAAGAAAUGGACACUCCAGUGGCUUAUUUCGAAACCCGUGGAAAUUGCAACACUUUUGUGGAGGUUUGGAAAGGUCCAGAAAUUCCUAUCCAAAUGAAAUACCUUAAAAUUGAAUUUCAAGAAUCAACACUUACUUCUAAACUAGAAGAGGAGAAAGCAGGCUUGUGUGAAAAUCAAACCAUGAAUGAAGGUCCUGAAGAACAAGUCAUGAAGGUGUUUAACUGCUCAUGUCUGCAAGAUAUCGAUGGUGAUUUGAAUCUCAGUGAUGCUCCGAACCUCACUGAUGAAGAGGAAGGAGAACAGGAUAAACAGAAAAACAUUACCAAAAAAGAAAUGACAGCUGUAGGUUUGAUGGAAAGGAAAACCAGACAGAGAAAAAAAAUAUCCAAGGAGGGAGAUGCUCAAUUAACUUGGAAAACAGCACAAGACAAGAUCAACAAGUUCUUUGGCUAUCAGCCCCUUGGAGGAGACCUCAGCUUCAGGUCAUUGGAGGAGAUGAAAAGUUUGGAAGGAAAAACAAUCUGGAGGGAAUCUGCGAAGGACACAUGCUGUGGUGGAGUGGUGAGUUGAGAACAGUAGAAGUAAGUCUAGAGAUUAUAACACAGUCUUCAAAGAGAAAAAUAUGCAAC
rnacentral:lncRNA from 1 species